UACGUAGGGGGCAAGCGUUGUCCGGAAUUAUUGGGCGUAAAGAGCGUGUAGGCGGUCCGGUAAGUCGGCUGUGAAAGCCCGGGGCUUAACCCCGGGUCUGCAUUCGAUACGGGCAGGCUAGAGUGUGGUAGGGGAGAUCGGAAUUCCUGGUGUAGCGGUGAAAUGCGCAGAUAUCAGGAGGAACACCGGUGGCGAAGGCGGAUCUCUGGGCCAUUACUGACGCUGAGGAGCGAAAGCGUGGGGAGCGAACAGG
rnacentral:rRNA from 1 species